CAGAAAAUAGUUUUAAAAAAUAUUAAUUUUGGAGAUUAAAGAUGGAGAGUGAUCUUCUUUUCUGA
rnacentral:tRNA from 1 species